GGGUAUAGCUCAGUGGUAGAGCACAUGCUUAGCAUGCACAGGGUCCUGGGUUCAAUCUCCAGUACCUCCA
rnacentral:tRNA from 1 species